GAAAUGAUUUUACGUAUGUCAUGCUAAAAGGGGUUGUGUUCUCACUCACCCUAACAAAAAAAAAGGUUCUGAAGCUUUGUGAUUACAAGACUAUACCACAGCCUUUCCAUCACACUCUUGUUCUUAAUUUUAUUACAGGAGGUGAAUGAAUGCUGUAAAAAAGUAUUUGCAAACAUGUGUGGGAACAGCAAAUAUGCAAAGCAGCAGCCACAAGAAAAAGUUCACAAGCAAUCCACUGAAAUACGCUUGCAUAAAACCCUUGUCAAAUAAUCUUGUCGGAUUAUCCUUUGAAACUGUGAACAAACCCUGCCUGACAACACAAAGGAAUUUUCCCAUGGAUCAGCUAAAGCUGACUCACAUGAAAGACUUGCCCGAAGUGGUCAUGCCCUCUGAGCAAAUACCACAGGCAUGAGGAUCUCUGCUCUUGGCCUAACAGCAGUGUUAGAAUUCCAGCGACCCAACCUGAAAAGUGAAAUCUUAUUGGAGGAUGGUAGGUCAUUUACCUAUGACCUAGCCAAUCUGCUCCUCUAUUUACUCAUGUUGCUAACUUCCAACGGGGUUGAAUGUUUUGAGCUGUCACUGCAUGUUGGGAGAAAUUUCCUGUUCUGCCCCUGGAAUACACCACAGAGCACUUGCUGUUUGUUUAAGCAGCAGAAUUUUGUACCCACAGAAAUGCAGCAGUUUUACAGGAAUGGCUGUGGGGAGUGUUGGGAGUUUUUGCCAGCUGGACUAGGAAGGGUUUGUGUUUCUGACUUCUAGGAAGGCAGUUUGAGCUGGACAGACCAUGAAAGACGUUCGAAUUCUUCAUCUGGACAAAAAGAGUGAGUGAGAGAGAGAUUUCCUGCUACCACUCAGCGAGAGGGCGCUUCACGCUUCCCUUUGGGAUGUUACACGGCCAAUUGUAAAGCCACGUCAUGUGAACAGAUGGCAGCAAAGGAUCUCAGCUUUCACUGAGAAUGGGUUAAAGAUCUGAUGCCUGGAAUGGUGGGCUAGACAGGGCCCAGCAGCGGGGGCUUUCUGUCCUGUGACAGCAAGACGUCUCCAAGGCCUGCUGGGGUGGCAAGAAUCCUUACACCAGCACCUCGGCAGGUUCUCAGCAGACCGGCACCAGCUAAGCCUCAGACUUGUAUAGGCACUUCACAUUUAAGAGCAUGUCUAAUCCAAUCACCAGCAGAUUGGAAGCUAUCUGUGUACCUCCCAGAUAGUUUAUUCUUGCGGGCUUGAAAACAAUCUUCUCCUCGUCAGCCUUCCCUGUUGUCUUCCUAUCAAUCUGUGUAACCAGUGGAGCUCCCCCCUCGGGCACAGGGAGCUAAUCCUAUUUAUUCAGUCCAUCAAUUUAACAGCUUUAAAUAUUUGCAUCGGUUAGAUGGACGCGCCCGAAACAUUAGCGGCAUCACUUGGUAAGUCAGAGAAGGGGGACCGGUGGGAGGCUGCCUUCCCAUGCUGGCAGGAGUAGAAAAAGAAGUCAUUCAAAGUGCUGAAGAUGCAAGGCAGGCUCAUAUACACACAUGUAUGCCUGUGUACGAAAGUACACUACACAUAUGCAGCUCAUUACCCUCCACUAUCCUCAUGCACAUAAAUGCCAGCUUAGUUUUGCUCAGUGCAGCACCCCUUUCUCUUGGCAGUCUGGCACCUUUAUACUCAGGCUUUAAAGUAAAUGGUGGAACAAGCUUCUGUCCUCACCUGAUCCAAACCAUUCCGAAAAGCUCAAGUCCACUCACUCUUUAGGAGCUGGUUCUUGGUGGUCUGGCGGAGUGUGUGCCUGCCUGGGCCCGUGCAAGCUCCUAGCAGGUAAAGUGCCUCAUACUCAGAGGAUCUGUGCUGUGGUCACAUACGUGUAAAUGGAAGUGCAGUGUACAGGGUAAUAGGGAAUCUGGUGCAAUGGGUCUUUGUUUCAGAAAUGAUUCUCAGCCACCCUCUCUGAAUGUCUGAUUAAAGCAGCCACAUAAUUAUGAAGUGUAUUUGCUGACUAUGCUCCAUACUCCUCCUGGCAACUCUGGCUUCACUAGGUCACACCUUCAGGGGCUCUGUGCAUUUCCCUGUUCCUGUCCCCUGCAACCUCUCUGUGUGACACGCUCCCACCCCACUCUGCAUCAGGGGCUGCCUAUAACUCUCUCCCUUCUCCCUCAUGUUUCCCUCUCCAUGUGCAACCCUCCCAUUAUUUCCCAUCCUCACCCCUAUGCUGCAGGCUCUGUGUGAUUCCCCCCCCCCCCCCAAAGUUUCUCUUCUUUCUAGAGUUUCCUUUGCCCUCGUAUCUCCCAUUCUCUCCCCUGCCAAUGGCUCUGUAUACACCCACAUUGCCCUCCCCCAGCCAGAUUCACCCUAUCCUUCCUCAAAUCCUAGGGCUCAGUAUAAUUCCCCAUCUUCUUCUUGCCUUUGCUGUUCUUAUUUCUUCUCUCUCUCAUUCUGGGUGCAAACAUUAUCAACUCAAUGAGGAAAGUGGGGCUGCGCUAUGAUGGGGUGUUAUGCAGGUUGGCAUGGAAGGCUGCCAUCAACCAGUUCUUGGAUGCCCAGAACUAGCACAAGCAGCAGGUGGAAGGGGAGGAGGAAAGGAGCCACUGUACCUCCUAUUACUUCCUCCCAGUGUUUGACUUUCCCCUGACCUCUGAGCUUUAAGGACUAGGAACAUUUCCCAGAGUGGGAGAACUAACUGAAAGCACCAUCCAAAAGCUGUGGCAUCACAUUCAAACAGAGCAAGGCCACUGGGUUGAUUGUCAAGCCCUGCAGGCUUGGCCAGUGAAGCCAGUGGAGCUUGCUUACUUACUGGAGCUGUGUAGAUUCCUAUUUUAGAAGUUCCAGGGUCAGCAUCCUUUACUUCAAAUGUGAGGGCUCUCAUGUCUGCUUACACUGGAUUGGGUUAGCUUCACUGCCUUGGUGCUGGUCAGGCAGCGCACUCAUAAACUGCCCUCAGUUGCCUUGCUAGGGACUCCCAUAGGGUUAGAGGAAUCCCAAGUGCAUGUAGAGCUACAGCAGAGGUGUGUGUUAGGGGUGUUUCCUAUGCCUGCUGUGCCAUGGCUGGCAGACCUGAGGGGACCAUUACCAGCUAGACUGGCACUUGGGCAGCUGCAGAUCCCAGGACACUGGGGAUAACAGGAAGCGAAGAAGAGAACCAAGUAGCCCUAGGAUGUUUUCCAACCAUUGCUGACUAGAGCUAGGCCUCAGCAGAAGAUAUAGAUUGACACCAUCAGCAUGGAGUGAUACAGAGGGAGGCUCAAAAAGGGCAAUGCUGCUUCCAAAUGGUUCUUGUGCCCACUCCAGUGUGCAUGAGGCAGCCUUUGUCCUUUGUUAACACUGUGGACUUCUAUAAGCUAUGCAUGUGCCCUUAUGUCUUUCAGCAGUUCUGCAGUGGGACUUUUGUCACGUGUAAGACAAGCCAUUCCUCUUUUGCCAUAGCUCCAAUUCAGCCAUACAAACUAGUCCUUUAAACCAUGUCUUAGGCCAGAGCCAUGGGAACUAGCAGAAAGCCAAACCUACCUCAGAUGCCUUGGAUGCCUGCAAAACCCACAACCAUCUAGGUAGAUUCAAAAUUAAAAAAGGAACCUUCACAUCAACAUGAAGAUUGAUUUGCAUCUUUAUGAAUCCUUAUCUGGUAAAAAGGGUCUUGAUUCUGCUUCUGAAGACCUCCAGGUUCUUUUUAAAGAGAACAGUAGAAAUUAAUUUUUUUUCUAAAAGCAUAACUCGAGGCUAUUUUAGACAGCAACAGGACAGCAUAUUACUGUGAAUCAGAGAAACAUCAGCAAUGCACCAAAAGCAUCGCAGAGCCAAUGAGAUCAAACAAACUCCCUCUGGUUUACUCAAGCUCCACGGAAGAAUUCAGCAAAGGAUAAGGUCCAAAGAGUAUGUUCUCUUCAGCUGACUGCAUGCUGUACGCCAGACACACCCCGUGGAAUCCUGAAAUAAUUCUUGAAGCACAAAAUUAUUUUCCCUCUAAUGCUUCUAUCCCAUAUGGAGCCAGUGUAUGUGAGCCUGAUCCAAGAUGCACUUAGUGUUCUUUGCAUUAACCCAGGGAACUUUUGGGCUCUGGAUGCCCAAAGGCAAAUUUUUAAGAGUGCCUGGACAGUGAGAUGCUCCCUUCACAGCAGGAGCCACUACUAGAUAUUUAAUGUGGCAUCCUUUUAGCUGCCACAUUGUUUUAUAUCAUAAUCCCAUGCACUUGAAUAGAUGUUUUAAAACAUGGGAAUAUAAGCAUUGCUAUAUUGGAGGAGGUGAAGGUCCAGUUCAGCAUCCUGCCUCACUCUGUAUCGCAUUGUGCAGUUCCAUUUUCUGCUCUUCUUCACUGCUCCCUUAAUACUCUACCAGUGCAUAGCAGCAGAGACUUUGUUUCACUCAUCUUUUCACAUCUGGUCCCAGUAACAUUUCUCUCUGUUUGUUAUACCCAAUUCCAAGAGGGGUGCUUCAUUAGAUAGGGGAUUCAGUGGGUUCUUGCUCAUUGAUGAGUGUUUUUGUAUCUUGCCCAUGUUCCUAAAUUAAACAAUAUGGGAAGCGGGGUGGGGGAAUCAAAUUCAAGAGCAUUCUGGGCAGGUCUGAAAUCUGAGGUUGCAUCUAGUGUGGAACUGGGAAAAGGGAGCGACCCUGGGAAUGAUGGGGCAUUAGAAGAGGAGAAUGGAGCGGGAGUCGUGCUAGGGAAGUGACUGCACUAGAAAGGGAACCUCGCAGGCAACUGGGCAGAUGUCAGAGGUGAAGAUUAGGAAGGAAAUCGGUGGGAGCCCCAAAGAGAGAGAGGGGUAUGGUUGAUGCUAGUGGGAAGUGAAGGAAAUCAAGGAGACUGGGACAGAAUGAAGUUGGUAGGUAGGAGACAUGGAGGGUGGGUGAGAAACGUAGCUGGGAAUUCAGGAAAGGAGAAUGUGGGAAGUAUGAAUGUAAGGAUUGAGGCCACUAAGCUGAGGCUACCCUCACUCACUAAAAGUAGAUUAAAUAGAUUUCUAGGUUUGGAAGGGACCUGUUAGAUCAUUGAGUCCGACUCCCUGCUCUGGGCAGGAAAGAGCGCUGGGGUCAAGUAAUCCCAGCCAGGGGUUAGUGUGGUGUAGAGUUAGUGUGGAGAGAACAAGGGAGAGAAAACUACUUAGUGAAAGAGAGUGAAUGACUGAGUGCUGGGGCUUCACUUACAUCCUUCUCUAAGAACAUGAGGCUACCACAACUUACCAAGUAGGAGAAUAGGAUAAAACCCACCAGAGUAUUGAUGCUGAUGUAAAAAAGAGAUUAUAAUGAAGGUUAAAAAUAUUUUAGAAACAGAGCAGACACAGACAAAUGCUAUUAGUCACAUAUCUAACACAGUCAUUGCUUCACAUGUUCUGUGCCACAUGAGUCAUGACCACGUGUGAAAGCCAUCAAGAUAAUCUGAUCUGGAAGGGCUAAA